UACGUAGGGUGCAAGCGUUGUCCGGAAUUAUUGGGCGUAAAGGGCUCGUAGGCGGUUUGUCGCGUCUGCUGUGAAAACGCGGGGCUCAACUCCGCGCCUGCAGUGGGUACGGGCAGACUAGAGUGCAGUAGGGGAGACUGGAAUUCCUGGUGUAGCGGUGGAAUGGCGCAGAUAUCAGGAGGAACACCGGUGGCGAAGGCGGGUCUCUGGGCUGUAACUGACGCUGAGGAGCGAAAGCCGUGGGUAGCGAACAGGA
rnacentral:rRNA from 1 species